rnacentral:rRNA from 1 species
UGGGGAAUAUUGCACAAUGGGGGAAACCCUGAUGCAGCGACGCCGCGUGAGCGAAGAAGUAUUUCGGUAUGUAAAGCUCUAUCAGCAGGGAAGAAAAAAAU